GUUAGCCCAAUAUGAGAAAACCCCUGUCCAGCUUUCCAUUUCAUCCUUCUAAAAGUCAGAGCACAACUUCUGUUCUUGGCUCUCUCUCCUUUCUUCUAUCGGCCCUUUUGUGGCUUUCUUCGGCUCUCUCACUAACUUCUCUCACUGAUCGGAGAUCGGACCGGAGGAAUUCCGUUUUCACUCACCUCAGAUCAGGUGAUUGUGUAAAAGAUGCAGCGAGUCCCAGCAACUAUCGAGGAACAGUUGAUAUUGAAAGCAAUCAAAGAGGAAUGUCCAUGGGAGAGCUUACCCAAACGGCUUCAAGCCACCUUGUCUUCCAAGGAAGAAUGGCACAGAAGGAUAGUUGAACAUUGCAUUAAAAAAAGACUUCAAUGGAACACUUGUUUUGCUCGCAAAAUAUGCAAAGAAACUGAAUACUAUGAAGAUUUGAUGCGCUACUUGCGAAAGAAUUUAGCGCUAUUUCCUUAUCACCUUGCAGAAUAUGUUUGCCGUGUAAUGAGGGUAUCACCUUUCAAAUACUACUGCGAUAUGAUUUUUGAGGUUAUGAAGAAUGAGCAACCUUAUGAUAGCAUCCCAAAUUUUAGUGCUGCAGAUGCAUUGCGGCUUACAGGCAUAGGGAGAAAUGAAUUUAUUGAUAUAAUGAAUAAGUGCAGAUCUAAGAAAAUUAUGUGGAAGCUUAACAAGUCAAUUGCAAAAGAACUUUUACCUACCCAACCUGUGGAUUUUGCAAUUGAACCAUGGUGGGGAGUUUGUCUCGUGAACUUUACAUUGGAGGAAUUUAAGAAACUAUCAGAAGAAGAAAUGGCUACCAUAGAUAAAGUCUGCAAAGAAGAAGCCAAUUCAUUUAUACUGUUUGAUCCUGACAUCAUCAAAGCUCUUUUUCGGAGGGGAUUAAUAUAUUUUGAUGUUCCAGUUUACUCCGAUGAUCGCUUUAAAGUUUCCAGGCUUGAAGGGUUUGUUUCCAACAGAGAGCAAUCCUAUGAAGAUCCUAUAGAGGAGUUACUGUAUGCAGUUUUUGUUGUUUCAAGUGAGAAUGCAACUGUUGCGGAGCUGGCAGCAACAUUACAGGCCGACCUUUCACAGCUGCAGGCGGCUGCAUCUUUUGCAUGUCGAUUGGGAUGGGCAGUGAAAGUCAUUGAUCCAGCAUCUAUUCUUCAAGAAACAAGUAUACCUGGUUCUCCCAGGACCAUUCUUAGUGAUGAAGAGGCUUCUCAUGCUAGUGUAGGCUCAUCAAAUAUCUUCAUAGAUGGUGAUAAUACUUUGGAAGGGGAUGCUUCAGGAGCUGAAAAGUUUGGGCCAGGUUCAAUGUAUGCUCGUGUUGCUUUCAUUGUUGAUGCUAACAUAACAUCAUAUCUUAUGAUGGGAUCUGUUUCACCAGGCUUAAAAUCUCAUGCUGUGACACUGUAUGAAGCGGGAAAACUUGGUCAUGCUAGCAUUGCGGAUCUUUGUAAUGAUCUGAGCACAUUAGAGGGAGCUAAAUUUGAGGGAGAACUCCAGGAAUUCGCAAAUCAUGCAUCUAGCCUUCGUUGUGUUUUAGAAUGCCUGCAGUCUGGUGGACUUGCAACUUAUGUGAAAGCAGAUGAGAUUUUCAACAAUAUGGAUAAAAUGGCUUUAAGCAAUGAGGAGGCUACUUCUCUGGUUGCUGAUAUUACCAUAAAUGACAGAUCAGAACCUACUGGUGUGGGUGAAGAUGGGUUUAAUGGUGAUGGCUCCAUUAAUAAGGAGAUGUCACAGGUGGAGUCUGACUUUACUGAAUCUGUUACUGAAUCAGUAACAGAUAAUAGCUUAAUUGAAGUCACUGAAUCCAUAAAUCUUCUGGAUGAUGAGAGAGUGAUUCCAGUUGAAGAAUCAGAUGUUGGAAAAGAAAUGUCAAGGAAGAUAAAGAAAUAUCGUGUAGAUAUACUUCGCUGUGAAAGCUUGGCAUCUCUUGCACCUGCAACUUUAGAACGGUUGUUUCUUCGUGACUACGAUAUUGUUGUGUCUAUUAUUCCUCUUCCGCAUUCAUCAAUUCUCCCUGGACCAACAUUUCCUGUUCAUUUUGGUCCUCCCUCUCACUCAUCUAUGACACCUUGGAUGAAGUUAGUGUUGUACACAACUGUGGCUUGCGGACCUCUAUCUGUUGUUCUGAUGAAAGGGCAAUGCCUACGCUUACUUCCUGCGCCACUGGCUGGUUGCGAGAAGGCUCUUGUAUGGUCUUGGGAUGGUUCUACAGUAGGAGGCUUGGGGGGCAAGUUUGAAGGAAAUUUAGUUAAGGGAGGUAUACUCUUACACUGUUUAAAUUCACUUCUGAAACACUCAGCUGUGCUAGUGCAGCCCCUCAGUAAGUACGACCUUGAUGAAUCUGGGCGAGUCGUUACGCUGGAUAUUCCACUGCCUCUGAAGAAUUCUGAUGGUUCAACUGCUCGUAUAGAAGGGGAUAUGGGACUGAGUGAAGAGGAAAGUAAAAGGUUGAACUCCUUGUUGGCUGAUUUGGCUAACAAUAUGGAGUUGUGGACAGUGGGUUAUAUUCGACUCUUAAAACUUUUCAAGGAAAAAGAGUCGGAACAAUUUUCACCUGAUGAAGAGAAGUAUGAAUGGGUCCCACUGAGUGUGGAGUUUGGUGUUCCACUUUUCAGUCCAAAGUUAUGCAACAAUAUAUGCAAAAGAGUUGUUUCAUCCCAAUUACUUCAAGCAGAUUCACUACAUGAGCAUCACGAUGCAAUGCAAGGCCUAAGAAAAAGAUUACGGGAUGUUUGUGCAGAGUAUCAAGCAACAGGUCCUGCGGCAAAACUUCUUUAUCAGAAAGAGAAAUCGAAGGAGCCAUCUCGACAUCUCAUGAAUUAUGCCAGUGGAAGGUGGAAUCCACUUGUGGAUCCUUCAUCUCCCAUUUCGGGAGCUUUGAGUGAACACCAAAGAUUAAAACUGGCUAACCGACAUCGUUGCCGAACCGAAGUCUUGAGCUUCGAUGGGAGCAUCCUUAGGUCAUAUGCUUUAGUGCCUGUUUAUGAGGCUGUCACAAGGCCAAUUGAAGAAUCCCCUUCAGGGAGCACAACAAAAGUUGAGCAAGAAGAGGCUGACAGCAGAGAAGUCGUCCUUCCUGGUGUUAAUCUUCUUUUUGAUGGCUCUGAGUUGCAUCCUUUUGACAUAGGCGCUUGCCUGCAAGCUCGUCAACCAGUCUCCUUAAUAGCAGAGGCAGCUGUUACCUCUGCAGCUUUUGCUGCUGUUAAAUAAGGACUUUUGAUAGAGAACCGUUAACUUCCCCCCUCCCAUUACUGAAACCUGUCAUCCAUGUUCAUCUGUUCUGAUUUUUUGAUUCGAUCUUUUUGAGAUUGGCAGUAUCUACUGGCUUAAAGUCAAAAUCAGCUUGGAGGUCGAGCCCUCAAAACUCUUGGCUCAUGUUUAUGCAGUUCGGGGCUGUAAAACCUUUUCCAGUUACUCCAUCCAAGACUCUUCAGGUUUGACUUACUAUGAAAAGAAAAGUGACUGUUUUUUUAACUUCCACCCUCCAAUGUCUUAUUAUGGCAGUGUUUAUAGAUGAAAGAAUUAUCUAAAGCAAAGGGGAAAAUAAAAAUAAACAUGUAUAUAUUUUAUUAGAAAAUAUGAGAACUCAUCAUUUAUACAGUUUUACUCCUUAAAUUUCUUGUAAAAAUGCAUUUCAAAAAAGAAAAAAAAAAUUGAUUGUAACAACAUACUCUGAUUUUCAGAAAAACUAAUAAAUAAAUUGCUUAGAACAA